AUAUAUUUGCAGCAUAUAUACUAAAAUGAAUGAUAACAAUAAGAUUAGCAUGGCCCCUGUGCAAGGAUUUAACACAAAUUCAUGAAGUGUUUCAUUUUUAG
rnacentral:snRNA from 1 species